rnacentral:rRNA from 1 species
GACGAACGCUGGCGGCGUGCUUAACACAUGCAAGUCGAACGGUAAGGCCCUUCGGGGUACACGAGUGGCGAACGGGUGAGUAACACGUGGGUGAUCUGCCCUGCACUUCGGGAUAAGCCUGGGAAACUGGGUCUAAUACCGGAUAGGACCACUGCCUGCAUGGGUGGUGGUGGAAAGCUUUUGCGGUGUGGGAUGGGCCCGCGGCCUAUCAGCUUGUUGGUGGGGUGAUGGCCUACCAAGGCGACGACGGGUAGCCGGCCGGAGAGGGUGACAGGCCACACUGGGACUGGGAUACGGCCCAGACUCCUACGGGAGGCAGCAGUGGGGAAGAUUGCACAAUGGGCGCAAGCCUGAUGCAGCGACGCCGCGUGAGGGAUGACGGCCUUCGGGUUGUAAACCUCCUUCAGCACCGACGAAGCGCAAGUGACGGUAGGUGCAGAAGAAGGACCGGCCAACUACGUGCCAGCAGCCGCCGCGG